rnacentral:rRNA from 1 species
UACGUAGGUGACAAGCGUUGUCCGGAUUUACUGGGCGUAAAGAGCGCGCAGGCGGUCGAUCAAGUCGAGUGUGAAAGCCCCCGGCUCAACUGGGGAGGGUCAUUCGAUACUGAUCGACUCGAAGGCAGGAGAGGGUAGUGGAAUUCCCGGUGUAGAGGUGAAAUUCGUAGAUAUUCGGAAGAACACCAGUGGCGAAGGCGACUCACUGGACACGUAUUGACGCUGAGGUGCGAAAGCGUGGGGAGCAAACAGG